UACGUAGGGGGCGAGCGUUUGUCCGGAUUUAUUGGGCGUAAAGAGCGUGUAGGCGGUUGUUUAAGUUUGGUGUGAAAUCUCCCGGCUCAACUGGGAGGGUGCGCCGAAUACUGAAUGACUAGAGUGCGGGAGAGGUGAGUGGAAUUCCUGGUGUAGCGGUGAAAUGCGUAGAUAUCAGGAGGAACACCAAUUGCGAAGGCAGCUCGCUGGGACGUUACUGACGCUGAGACGCGAAAGCGUGGGGAGCAAACAGG
rnacentral:rRNA from 1 species